rnacentral:rRNA from 1 species
GACGAACGCUGGCGGCGUGCUUAACACAUGCAAGUCGAACGGAAAGGCCCUGCUUUUGUGGGGUGCUCGAGUGGCGAACGGGUGAGUAACACGUGAGUAACCUGCCCUUGACUUUGGGAUAACUUCAGGAAACUGGGGCUAAUACCGGAUAGGAGCUCCUGCUGCAUGGUGGGGGUUGGAAAGUUUCGGCGGUUGGGGAUGGACUCGCGGCUUAUCAGCUUGUUGGUGGGGUAGUGGCUUACCAAGGCUUUGACGGGUAGCCGGCCUGAGAGGGUGACCGGCCACAUUGGGACUGAGAUACGGCCCAGACUCCUACGGGAGGCAGCAGUGGGGAAUAUUGCACAAUGGGCGGAAGCCUGAUGCAGCAACGCCGCGUGCGGGAUGACGGCCUUCGGGUUGUAAACCGCUUCCGCCUGUGACGAAGCGUGAGUGACGGUAGUGGGUAAAGAAGCACCGGCUAACUACGUG